GAUUUGGCCCUGAGUUUUUAAUCUCCCCCAUCUCUCUCCCGCUCCCGCUCCUUCGCUCUCUGUCUAUAGAUCUGGCACGGUCUUGCUCUCUUAACUCUCAGAUCAUUGUUCCGGUGGCGGCGGCCAGAAAGAGCAAGGCAGCGCUGUGCUCUCACUUCCUCCUAGCUUCUUUAAAAAAAAAAAAAGGGGGGGGACAUUCCCCGUCCAACUUUUCCUUCACUCCUCAAUCCCACUGGCAGGCUUUUGCCGAAAACCUACAACACCUCCAGUUUUGGAGUCAGCAUGACACAUCAUUGUCCACUCUUCCUUGGAAAACUGCUCUGAAUCUGUCAGAUUGUGAGGACAUCUCCUAUAUACAGCCUUCUUCAGGACACCCCACAGAUUUUCAAUUGGAUUCGGAUCUGGGCUCCAGCUGGGCCAUUCCAAAACUUUGGUAUUCUUCUGAUGAAGCCAUUCUUUUGUUAAUUUGAAGAUCUGAAAGAUCAGAGCAGAUGCAUCACUGUCUUGUUAUGUAAGGAAUGAGAGUGUCCCAUCUGAAUGCUGCCAAAUAUGCUUGUCAAGCACAAUAAAAUAAAGACUAAGGUAAUAUUUAUUGGACUAGUGAUUAUGUGAAAUGGAAACUGAAUUGUAUUGAAAGGGUACAACUGGCUUACAACAUGAAGCUGUGCAAAGACCCUCCUAUCCAUGAUUACCACCUAUUCCUUAAGACUUUUCAAAGGGAAUGAAAUAUCAUCAUCAUCAUCAACAACAACAACAACAACAUCAACAUCAUCUUCAACUACAGCCAAAUAUAUCAGGAUUCAUAGCAUUAUUGGCCCACCAUUUAUAUAUAUAUAUAUAUAUAUAUAUAGUUUGCUAUGUAGCAAACCAGUCACUGGUACUUUAGGAAAAUAUGCAAAAAAAUUAAUAUAAUAAUAUUAUAGCUUUUUUAAUCAAAUAGGAAAAAAGGGCAAGAACAGAUCUAACUUAAAUCUGAAUUGAUGUCUGCCUUUGUCUGUCCACUAGCUGUAUCAUAUACUCAUUUAGUGUGUGAAUGAUAAUACAUGGAUAUCCAUUGCAUUAAAUUUGCAUGGAUCACAAAAUUUUUUACAAAUACAAAAAUUAAACUGGAAAACCAAAAGAAGAAAUAGAUUUAGAAGUAUGUGACCUGAAAGAGGGUCUAUGGACAGGAAUGGAAAACUCAGUAAAUAUAAGUCACAUAGAAAACAAGACAAGGACCAUAAAUAUAUUUAAAAAUGAUUGCUACACACUGGCUCUUUUGGUUUAUUCCAAUUUCUCCCUGUAACAUUCUUCUUCAACUAUUGAACCAUUUUGUUCCCUGCCAUCCUACACCUAUCAGCAGGUUGUCUGCAUUGCUUAUACUUGACCUUUGCAAUUACAUAAUUCAUAAAACACUUUCUCUCUAGGCAACCACUAGGAUGCUAAACAUUUCUUCAAUAGAGCGAAUUUAUAUAAUGCUAUAUAAUCAGGAUAUUUUAUCCUUUGAGUUACUACUUCUUACAUUUCCUUUGUUUCAAAUAAUUGCAAUUUCACCCAGGGCUCUGAAAUUUGGUGCAUAAACGAAAUUACAUCUUUUAUAUAAACAUAGAACUACAGCCAAGUUUGAAACUCAGCAAGAUCUUUAUUCAGAGAAAACAAUUAUAACAAGGUUCAGGAGAUGUCCUUUUUCUUUCUCUAGUGUGUUUCACCUACUUGUGUACUUUAGACCUAUAGUGCACAUUAUUAUUAAAAGUCUGAUUUUAGGCUCACAAAAACUGAAGAAAUCAACCAGUCUUUUGAAAAGCCCAGCAAUGAGCAAAAUAAAUAUUAUGGAAGUGAUUAGUAAAGGGUUUUGCAACUAAUGCGAAUGCAAACAUCAAUUUAUAACAUUUUUAACAUUCUAUUUUGCUUUUUAGCAAUAUAUUCAUGCAUAAUUAUUUUAUUACUGAUUAAAAGUUUUAUAUCAACAAAGUGAGAAAAUAUACUGUAAGAGAAAUAGAAUAUUUUCUAAGUCAGGCAUGUAAUAUUAUUUAUUUAAGAUAAAACAACAAAUUUAAUUCCUACUUUUGUUCAAUCAGGACUUUCCAAAAAGUUAAGGAGCCUUCUGAUUCUUUUUUUAAAAAAGAAAAAUAUAACUUGGACAGAAAAUAAAUAUCAGGGCAGCACUGAAAUAUUGAACUCUUGUUGUCAUAUUCUCUGUGAAAUUGGUAGUGAAUUAUUUCUAAGGAGUUUUAUUGAACAAUGCUAUUUAUAUUAAAUUUCACAUUAAAAAUGGGCAUUUCCUAUAUUCUUAUAAUAAAACAAGAGUGAUGAUAAUUAAUGCAAUG